AAAGGUACUCAAGGGCACAAUAGUGAAUGCCUAGACGUAUAUUACCGAUGAAGGACGUGGAAGACUGCGAUAAGCUUCGGGUAGCUGUCAACAAGCUAUGAUCCGGAGAUUUCCGAAUAGGGAAACCUAGCACGAGUCAUGUCGUGUUGCCUCAUACUGAAUACAUAGGUAUGUGAGCGGGAACCAACUGAACUGAAACAUCUUAGUAGGUUGAGGAAAAGAAAGUAAAUAACGAUUCUCGGAGUAGUGGCGAGCGAAACGGGAUGAGCCCAAACCUUAUAAGUUUUUGUCUGUUCGCAGACAAAUAAGCUGAUAGGCCAAUGCUUAUAAGGGGUUGUGAUAUUACACAAGACCAAGCCAGAGAGCUUAACCUUGGUUAAGAUAUCUGGUUUGCGACCAAGAGCUAUCAAUUUUGGAUAAGGUAAAAAAUCGGCGUGGUUAGCAGAAUAGUUUGAAUGACUAACCAAAGGACGUGAAAGUCGUGUACGCGAAAACGACGCUGACCUUAUAUGUGUUUUAUCGAGUAGGGCGGGGCACGAGAAACCCUGUCUGAAUCUGGCUGGACCACCAGCUAAGGCUAAACAUAAUAUACGAUCGAUAGUGAACUAGUACAGUGAUGGAAAGGUGAAAAGAACCCCGGGAGGGGAGUGAAAUAGAUCCUGAAACUUUGUGCCUACAACGUGUCGGAGCCCUUCGGGGUGACGGCGUGCUUUUUGUAGAACGAUCCAGCGAGUUAAUUUUACGUGCAAGGUUAAGUCAAUUGACGGAGCCACAGUGAAAGCGAGCCUGAAUAGGGCGAUUUAGUACGUAGGAUUAGACCCGAAACCGGGUGACCUAACCAUGAGCAGGCUGAAGCUACUGUAACAGGUAGUGGAGGGCCGAACCGUAGUCCGCAGCAAAGGGCCCGGAUGACUUGUGGUUAGCGGUGAAAUGCCAAUCGAACCCGGAGAUAGCUGGUUCUCCUCGAAAUAGCUUUAGGGCUAGCGUGACGUGGUAGCAGGCAGGGGUAGAGCUCUGUUUCGGACUGGGGGUCGCAAGAUUACCCACCCUUGACAAACUACGAAUACUGUCUGUGGAAUCGUUGCAGUUAGAACGGCGGGGCUAAGCUCGUCGCUCGAAAGGAAAACAGUCCAGAUCACCAUCUAAGGUCCCCAAGUCUAUGCUAAGUGGGAAACGAGGUGGGGUUUCUUAAACAACUAGGAUGUUGGCUUAGAAGCAGCCAUUCAUUUAAAGAGUGCGUAACAGCUCACUAGUCAAGAGACCCUGCGCGGAAAAUGUAACGGGGCUAAGCAUAGCACCGAAGAUGUGAACUUCAGUUUACUGGAGUGGUAGAGGAGCGUUCCUCUCUGCGUUGAAGUUGAACCGUGAGGUUUGGUGGAGCGUGAGGAAGUGAGAAUGUUGGAAUGAGUAACCAUAAGGCAGGUGAGAAUCCUGCCCGCCGAAAGAGCAAGGUUUCCUGGGCCACGGUAAUCGUCCCAGGGUUAGUCGGUCCUAAGCCGAGGCGCGUAGCGUAGGCGAUGGACAACAGGUUAAUAUUCCUGUACUUGCGUUAAUUUGUUAUGUAUUUGCACUUAAUAGUCAGAAGCGGAUUCAUGGUUAUAUCCGUCUAAGCGUUGUCCCUUUUAGGGCGGCGUGAAUGAAACGACCUUCAGGUUGAAUUUCUGAGGAGAGGGUGACGAGAAAAGAUGCGUAACGUGUGAUUAAUGCAAUCCGUACCGCAAACCGACACAGGUGCUCAGGUCGAGAAGACCCAGGCGUACGAGUGAUUCUUCGUUAAGGAACUCGGCAAACAAGAGACCGUAACUUCGGGAUAAGGUCUGCCUCGCCACAGUGUCUAUGACGCGUGGAAAAAGCCGCAUUUCUUGAUUUUGUUGAAAUAAGAAAUAGCGAGAAGCCAAUCCGCGUCUGUCGUAGGCAGCGUGGCGAGGCCGCAGCUAAGGAACCCAUGCAACUGUUUACCAAAAACAUAGGUCUGUGCUAACACGAAAGUGGAUGUAUACGGGCUGACGCCUGCCCAGUGCUGGAAGGUUAAGGGGAGUUGUGUAUGCAGCGAACUGAAGCCCCAGUGAACGGCGGCGGUAACUAUAACCGUCCUAAGGUAGCGAAAUUCCUUGUCAGGUAAGUUCUGACCCGCACGAAUGGCGUAAUGAUAUGGGUACUGUCUCAACGAAGAGCUCGGUGAAAGUGCAUUGACGGUAAAGAUGCCGUCUGUCCGCAGCAGGACGAAAAGACCCCGUGGAGCUUUACUACAACUUGGCAUUGAGCCGGGUUAUAACAUGUGUAGGAUAGGUGGGAGACUUUGAAGCCUAGACGCUAGUCUAGGUGGAGUCGCCGGUGAAAUACCACCCUUGUUAUGAUCUUGUUCUUACGUGGCCCGCAAAGAGUAAUCGAGAUUCCUAUAGGAUUCCUCAACAAGCUUUCAUUUCCCGCGAGAGGGAAAAAGAGCAGCCCGAGCAAAAAUCGCAUUUUUUGCCCGGCGCGUUGAGAGAAAACCGUAGGUUGUCUCUCGAAUACCCUUUCCGGGUCGCGGACCGUGUCUGGUGGGUAGUUUAACUGGGGCGGUUGCCUCCUAAAGAGUAUCGGAGGCGUUCAAAGGUUGGCUAACUUCGGAUGGAAAUCGAAGUGAUAGUGUAU
rnacentral:rRNA from 1 species